rnacentral:ncRNA from 1 species
AAAACGGAGAGUUUGAUCCUGGCUCAGGAUGAACGCUGGCGGUAUGCUUAACACAUGCAAGUCGAACGGAGUACUUCG